CAGAGUCAGCUAUCCUUCUAUGCUGGUACCAUGUCUUGCAGGCUGUUAAUCGAUGGCUUUCAAAAUCAGAGUCCGGGGUCCAUGGGCUUUCUAACACCCAAAAGAGAAAUGAAAUCAUUUCUUUCUUUUGUAAGCUGAAAGCUUGCACAUCUUAUUUUCAGAAGCACUGGGAAGGCAUUGGCCACAUGUGGUGUGACUACGGCCGUCGGUUCAGUCACGCUCGUUCUGAAACAAACAAUGUGAUUGAAAGAUUUUUCCACCGCCUGAAAUACCAGUUUUUAUCUGGCUACAAGAAUAGGCGUCUGGAUGAUCUGAUUGAAGUGCUCCUAGGGAAGGCCGACGACUACUUCUCAGUCAUAAAAACCCUGCAAGAUGUGGGCCGCAUGAAAAACAGGUUUGCUGACACCUUGUCUCAAGUUUCAGACUCUGCUUCAAGACUGAUGGAAAGUGGUUGGGCUCUUAAAAUUACAGUCAAGAACAGCCAUGGAGUUAAUGCAUAUCAAGUCCCAUCUGAGUCAAGAGAAGACAUGGUGUAUGAUGUCUGCC
ensembl:lncRNA